rnacentral:tRNA from 1 species
GGAGACCCAUGGCUCAGUGGCAGAGCAUUUGCUUGGCAUGUUGAAGGUCCCAGGUUCAAUCCCUGGCAUCUCCA